rnacentral:tRNA from 1 species
AAUAAGGUGCCUGACAAAAGGAUUAUUUUGAUAGAAUAAACUAUGUAUUAUUAUAUUACUCUUAUUA